UACAGAGGGUGCGAGCGUUAAUCGGAAUUACUGGGCGUAAAGCGCGCGUAGGCGGCUUUGCAAGUCGGGUGUGAAAUCCCCAGGCUUAACCUGGGAACUGCAUUCGAGACUGCAUUGCUAGAGUAUGGGAGAGGGAAGUGGAAUUUCAGGUGUAGCGGUGAAAUGCGUAGAUAUCGGGAGGAACACCCGUGGCGAAGGCGGCCAGCUGGGCCGACCCUGACGCUGAGGCGCGAAGGCGUGGGGAGCGAACGGG
rnacentral:rRNA from 1 species